AUUGAACGCUGGCGGCAGGCCUAACACAUGCAAGUCGAGCGAGUGGCGGACGGGUGAGUCAUGUCUGUGAAACGGCCCGAGGGAGGGGGAUCACUACUGGAAACGAUAGCUAAUACCGCAUACAAUCGGAUGUGCCCAGUUGGGAUUAGCGAGUGGGGGGGGUAACGGCUAACCUAGGCGACGAUCCCUAGCUGGUCGGAGAGGAUGACCAGCCAAACUGGAACUGAGACACGGUCCAGAAUCCUACGGGAGGCAGCAGUGGGGAAUAUUGCACAAUGGGCGCAAGCCUGAUGCAGCCAUGCCGCGUGUAUGAAGAAGGCCUUCGGGUUGUAAAGUACUUUCAGCUGGGAGGCGUUACCAGCAGAAGAAGCACCGGCUAACUCCGUGCCAGCAGCCGCGGUAAUUC
rnacentral:rRNA from 1 species